rnacentral:rRNA from 1 species
CCUACGGGAGGCAGCAGUGGGGAAUAUUGGACAAUGGGGGGAACCCUGAUCCAGCGACGCCGCGUGAGUGAAGAAGUAUUUCGGUAUGUAAAGCUCUAUCAGCAGGGAAGAAAAUGACGGUACCUGACUAAGAAGCCACGGCUAACUCCGUGCCAGCAGCCGCGGUAAUACGGAGGGGGCAAGCGUUAUCCGGAUUUACUGGGGGUAAAGUGAGCGUAGACGGUGCAGCAAGUCGGGUGUGAAAGGUCCGGGCCCAACCCCGGGACUGCCUUGGAAACUGUUGAACUGGAGUACAGGAGAGGUAAGCGGAAUUCCUGGUGUAGCAGUGAAAUGCGUAGAUAUCAGGAGGAACACCAGUGGCGAAGGCGGCUUACUGGAAUAUAACUGACGUUGAGGCUCGAAAGCGUGGGGAGCAAACAGGAUUAGAUACCCCGGUAGUC